rnacentral:tRNA from 1 species
GAUUAAAUGGUUGAGUAUAAACAGUAGAUUGUAAAUCUAUAAACAGGAAUUAAUCCUUUUAAUCA